rnacentral:other from 1 species
UUGUCUCUGAGAUGCGCGAGUAUCCUGGAUAAGCUGACCAACAUAAUGAUCGAGAUGUCUUUCACCCGUUGCCAUGGUGAGCCAGCCUACCUUGCAGUGGGACGCCUGAAAUGGCCGGUGAAGACCAAGCUUUUGGUCCGGUCCUAUUUUCCGGAGCAAUCGGCAUCUCGGAGACGCA